rnacentral:misc_RNA from 1 species
AAUCAUAAUAUGUGUUACGAGGUCAAGUGUUCGAGCUGCGGAAAGACCAGUUGGGAUGGUUGUGGACGACAUGUCCCCUCCGUCUACAACCGAAUCCCUGAAGGUCAGCACUGUCAGUGCAAAGAUUGGCCCGGUGUCAAAACCACCGGCGAGGGGACUGUCUCCGACGGCGUUGACGGCGGCACUGGCACAGGCACCGGAGAUUCAAAACCUAGUUCGUCUUGUAACAUCCUCUAGAAAUUGGAGAAAAACUGGAA